GCUCCCGGGGCGCCCGCAGCGCUGGCGCCGACGCCAGCGCGGGGGGCUGCAGUCGGGGCGCGGCCGUCUUCCUCCACCGCGGACGCCGGAGCGGACACUGCAGUCAGCGCCCCCGCCCCCGCGCACGGAGGGCGGGUAGACUGCAGAGUGCUCACCCUCUCCACGCGCUCCAGCCGCUCUGAUGUUCUCGCCGCUCUGUGCGUGCACCGUUAAUGAAGAACGAGGGCGGAGAGGAAGAACAAGCAACUCCCGGCUGCUGCUGCCCUGGCUACAGUCUGAGGCCAUCGCCCACCGCAGCGAACGGAGAGCGCUGUGUUGCCGUCGGUGGGAGAGGGAAGCGGAGCCCCGAGUUCUCAUCCGUCUCAAAGUUGGGCCCAGUGCGCUCCCGGACGGGAAGCACCAUUAGGUCGCCCGACCUUGGUGGGUGCGUGUGGGAGUCCCCGAGGAAAAUAAUCAUCUGGUGCAGAGGUUGCGUAGUAAUGUGCGAAAUGGUUUGAAGCUGCCAAAGAAUGGGACCCGGCAUUCGCACACACCUAUGGUUUGUGGGGAUGGGACUUGGACACAAGACAAACAGAAGCCAUCGUUCUCCAGCUGCAGUAGAAAACAAAUCAGUUGUUCUGUCUCUAAUAGCAUGCCACCUGAAAGUGCUGUCUGCAGUACCUUUAUAAGCAAUUUUGUUUUCACCUGUUAACUAAGCCUGUCUCCUUCUGAACAAUUGCCAAAUCUGCUUAAUAUGCAGAAUUAUAUAGGGCAUCUAGCUGGAGAGGGAAGGACUGCUCUGGUCUCUACUGCACAGCUGAAGUGCCAACUGUGUUAAGAACAUACCGAGAAGCAGAUGAGUAUAUCAUAAACCAGGAGAAAUAUUAAACAGAUCUGAAAAUAAAAAAUCGUGUAUAAAGACUCUGCAUUAUUACUCUGUGACUGGACUGUGAAAUCAUUGUUACUCAGUCCCAUGAAAAGCAAUGACAGCAGCCACCAACAUUACCUCCCCCCACUGCCAGGUUAAAUGCAGCCAGCCCAGUGCUGCAGAAUCUAUACCUAAGUGAUGCAGUGAGCAAAAAUUCACCCAGUCUAUGCAGAAAGUAGACAGCAAAAGUAGGACAACAUAACAGUAGCAUUACAACAAAGUAAUGCCUCUAGAAGGUGAUUACAAACCCACACAUUCUGCGUCCUCUAUUAUGCCAGCAUUUAGACCUGGAAACUUGCUGAGACAGCAAAAUAACUCACAGAAGUAACAAACCACCUGUCCAACAGGUGCCAGUCACUGAAUCUGCUUCCUGCUUAGCUAAAACUGCUCAAACAGCAUAGAAGAAUUGCAGACAAGAGGGAGAGCUGUCUUGACAACUGUCCUGUAUACCCCUCAAUUCCUCUCU